AGAGAAGAUUGAAGACUGCUAAAGUGAUCUCUCCUGGACCCUGAAGCAGAGUGGCCAAGCCAUUAGAGACCUCGGGCUGUUGGAAUGAACCUACCUUCCUGCUCCCAGGUUCCUGGCUUGUGCGCCCCACAACCUGUUGGGCCUAGACUAGCCCUCACCUCCAACUGGGCCCGCACUACUCCUCACUGUGUCCAAAUGCUAAAGCUGCUGCUGCUCACGCUGCCCCUCCUGUCCAGCCUGGUGCAUGCAGCCCCCGGUCCAGCUAUGACACGAGAAGGCAUUGUGGGGGGACAGGAGGCACAUGGGAACAAGUGGCCCUGGCAGGGAUGUUGCUGACCCCAACAAGGUCAGAGUACAGCUCCGUAAGCAGUACCUCUAUUACCAUGACCACCUGAUGAAUGUGAGCCAGAUCAUCACACACCCCGACUUCUACAUCGUCCAGGAUGGGGCAGACAUUGCCCUGCUGAAACUCACAAACCCUGUGAACAUUUCUGACUAUGUCCACCCUGUCCCCCUACCUCCUGCCUCAGAGACCUUCCCCUCAGGAACGUUGUGCUGGGUGACAGGCUGGGGUAACAUCGACAAUGGUGUAAACCUGCCGCCACCAUUUCCUUUGAAGGAGGUGCAAGUUCCCAUUAUAGAAAACCACCUUUGUGACUUGAAGUAUCACAAAGGUCUCAUCACAGGUGACAAUGUCCACAUUGUCCGAGAUGACAUGCUGUGUGCUGGGAAUGAAGGACAUGACUCCUGCCAGGGCGACUCCGGAGGACCUCUGGUCUGCAAGGUAGAAGACACCUGGCUGCAGGCAGGCGUGGUCAGCUGGGGUGAGGACUGCGCACAGCCCAACAGGCCUGGCAUCUACACCCGGGUCACCUAUUACUUGGACUGGAUCCACCGCUAUGUCCCCAAGGACUUCUGAGUCACAUCCAGGAUGACCUCCGUUCCUCCCAGCAUGCUGCUUCCUGCCUGGGUGGCAUCCCUGCCUUCCUCUCCUGCUCCCCAUCCUGAGUCCCAAUUCUUCUGCCUUCCACUCAAGUAGCUACACUGCGCAGGCGCCGCUCUCUGCUAUGCCUCAAUAAAAUGCAUUAAAGCA